rnacentral:rRNA from 1 species
AAUCAACGCUGGCGGCGCGCUUAACACAUGCAAGUCGCACGAGAAAGGGAGCAAUCCUGAGUAAAGUGGCGUACGGGUGAGUAACACGUGGGAAUCUACCUCUUGGCGGGGAAUAACCCUGGGAAACCGGGGCUAAUACCGCAUAAGCUCGUGAGAGGAAAGCAGCAAUGCACCGAGAGAGGAGCCCGCGGCCGAUUAGCUAGUUGGUGGGGUAAUGGCUCACCAAGGCGAAGAUCGGUAGCCGGCCUGAGAGGGCACACGGCCACACUGGCACUGAAACACGGGCCAGACUCCUACGGGAGGCAGCAGUGGGGAAUCUUGCACAAUGGGGGAAACCCUGAUGCAGCGACGCCGCGUGAGCGAUGAAGCCCUUCGGGGUGUAAAGCUCUUUCGACAGGAACGAUAAUGACGGGACCUGGAGAAGAAGCUGCGGCUAACUACGU